GGCGGCAGGCCUCAAACAUGCAAGUCUAGGGGGUGUAGCAAUACAUCACCGGCGGACGGGUGCGUAACACGUGGGAAUAUACCUUUUGGUUCGGAACAACGCAGGGAAACUUGCGCUAAUACCGAAUGUGCCCUUACGGGGAAAGAUUUAUCGCCAAAGGAUUAGCCCGCGUCCGAUUAGCUAGUUGGUGAGGUAACGGCUCACCAAGGCUCCGAUCGGUAGCUGUUCUGAGAGGAAGAUCAGCCACACUGGGACUGAGACACGGCCCAGACUCCUACGGGAGGCAGCAGUUGGGAAUCUUGGACAAUGGGGGAAACCCUGAUCCAGCCAUGCCGCGUGAGUGAUGAAGGCCUUCGGGUUGUAAAACUCUUUCGACGGGGACGAUAAUGACGGUACCCGUAGAAGAAGCUCCGGCUAACUUCGUGCCAGCAGCCGCGGUAAUACGAAGGGGGCUAGCGUUGUUCGGAAUUACUGGGCGUAAAGCGCGCGCAGGCGGUCUUCCAAGUCAGUGGUGAAAGCCCGGAGCUCAACUCCGGAAAUGC
rnacentral:rRNA from 1 species